GACUUGCGGCUGCGCAGGAGAGCCCGGAGCAGCAACUUUAAAAAAAACAAAACCCCCCAAUUUCGUUGCGUGCCUCCUGGUGUGCUGGGAAAAAUCUCUCUGCGUGCCGGGGGUUGCCAGCACCUGUCCUAGAACAUAGAGGAAGUUAAAGUAACAGGCUUCCCUAUGGCAGUCUGGUGUGAUGGUUGGCAACAUUUCUGGGUAGAGUGCCAAAAACACCCACAACCUUGACUGGAUGGCUCUGGAAGAAACCAGGGUGUGCAGAAGCAUCUAUAGAGAAAAUGCAGCAGGACUCAGGGCUACUUGAAAGAGCAUCAGAUGGUCUACUGUGUUCACAUAUCUAUGAAGCCAGUCAGGUCAUCAAGAUCAACAUCUUCCUUCAGCAAAGUCCAUGUAAAGUGACAUUCGAGCUGCAGCAGGAUAGGCUGUAGGGUAUUCUUGGAAAUAUUACUAGAGGAAAAAACAGAAGAAUAUGUUUAAGCAUCUGUGAGAAGAGCAGAUUCAUGAAUAAAGAUAUGCAAAGG